rnacentral:rRNA from 1 species
CAAUACAAUACUCUCCGCCAGAGAACUACAAGUGAAAAACUUAAAACUCAAAGGACUUGACGGUGUCCCAUAUCGACCUAGAGGAGCCUGUCCUAUAAUCGAUACCCCCCGCUCCACCCAACCCCAA